rnacentral:rRNA from 1 species
GAUGAACGCUGGCGGCGUGCCUAAUACAUGCAAGUCGAGCGAACAGACGAGAUUGCUUGCACUCUCUGACGUUAGCGGCGGACGGGUGAGUAACACGUGGGUAACCUACCUAUAAGACUGGGAUAACUUCGGGAAACCUGAGCUAAUACCGGAUAAUAUUUAGCUUCGCAUGAAGCAAUAGUGAAAGACGGUUCUGCUGUCACUUAUAGAUGGACCCGCGGUGUAUUAGCUAGUUGGUGAGGUAACGGCCCACCAAGGCAACGAUACAUAGCCGACCUGGGAGGGGGAUCGGCCACACUGGGACGGAGACACGGCCCAGACUCCUACGGGAGGCAGCAGAAGGGAAUCUUCCGCAAUGGACGAAAGUCUGACGGAGCAAUGCCGCGUGAGUGAAGAAGGUUUUCGGAUCGUAAAACUCUGUUGUAAGGGAAGAACAAGUACGUUAGUAACUGAACGUACCUUGACGGUACCUUACCAGAAAGCCACGGCUAACUACGUG